GAAGAGACUCCCAAGUGGCACUUUUGCGACUCAUCCCUUAAAAAAAAAGCAUCCGAAACAGCAAAAUAGAAAUCUUUCUUGUCCCCUGGCCUUGCAGGUCUGGCAACAAAACACCACAGCAGCACCAGCAAGGACACACUUAGCACCAGCAAAAUCUGCAUAUGCAAAGGGCUUCCCCAGUCCCAUUCCUCGAUGCUACUAUUGCUCCAGGCGACAUCUUGAUUCUCCGCUUCCUUCUCGAAGUGCCAACUGCGGCCUUUCAAGCUCUGGGCUCCCCAUCAGGAAAACGGGAUCCAGCUUUCUCCAAGGACACAGGGUUUUCACCAACCUGCAGAAAUAAAGAUUUGUAUAUCGGGGAAGAUUCACGCAACACUAACAUCUGUGCCAAUCUUCUUCCUUUUUUCUUCCCCCCAAAGCCCCAGUAGAUAGUUGUGUAUAGUUAUAAGUCCUGCUAGUUCUUCUAUGUGAGCUGCCACCACAGUGUGACAACUGACAGAUGGGUGGUGUGGUUGUGCACCUGGGAACUGAACCUGGUCUGGCAAAGCAGAGUGCACUGAACUUUAACCACUGGGCCAUCAGGGCUGGCUCAAGAGGUCCCUUUUUUUUUUUUUUUCCUGAGGAAGAUUCACCCUGAGCUAACAUUCAUUGCCAGUCUUCCUCUACUUUGUAUGUGAGAUGUCCUCACAGCAUGGCUGAUGAAUGGAGCAGGUCUGCGCCCAGGAUCCAAACCUGCAAACCCAGGCUGCCAAAGCAGAGCACAUGGAACUCUAACCACUCAGCCACGGGGCCGACUCCCUUCUCUACUUCAUAUGUGGGUCACCACCAUAGGGCGGCUGACGAGUGUUGUAGGUCCGCGCCCAGGAUCCGAACCCAUGAACCCAGGCCACCGAAGCAGAGCACGCUGAACUUAACCACCACACCACGGGGCCAGCCCCAAGAGAUCCCAAUUUUUAAUUAAAAAAAAAAAUACCUCUCUUGCUCUUGCUGUUUGCACAAGUGAUAAGUUAUAAAUUCAAACAGCAGAGAAUAUAGAAAUAAAAGGAAGGCCCCCUUCAGUCCCCCCCUCAGCCUCCCAGAAUAUUUGCUGUGUAUUUACAGACACUGUAUUCCCCAUCAUUACAUCCCCAGAGCCUAGCACAAAGCCUGGCACACAGCAGGUGCUCAGUUCAACCUGUUUAAUGACAGUGAAUAAUGGUGGCAACUUCCCAGCUCUUGCAUUUUUUGUUUCAGUGGGUUGAUUUUGACCAUGGAGUUCAGAUGGUGCCAGUCUUCAGUCCCAGUGCCUAAGACUUCUGGGGACAAAGCUCUCCAUGCAGAAUGUUCCCAGAGAGAAGACGACUGCUCUGGUCUGUGUCAUGGCUUAAAUCUCCCUCCAGGGAGCUCAGGCUGCCCAGUUAGGAAGCUGGGCACCGAGGAGACUGGGGAGAGGGGACUGAAAGAGCAGAAGGCUAGGUUUGGGGUGUGUGAGAAAGGACGAGGCCAUUUGGCAGCUCCUGGAAGAAGCAUUUGCCCCCCUCUGUCCAGCCCCCUCCCACCCGUGAAUAGUUAUCAGUGUGAUCAGCAAACAGUUGAUAAUGUAAAGACUAUGGAGAGAGACCAGAGAGCUCAUAGCUCCCACCCACUAUGAAGUUAUGGCAGGUGGGCCUUGAAUGCCAAGCUAACUUGACUUCCAGAAGGAUAAGCUCUGAGAGUCGG
ensembl:lncRNA